CUCCAGAUAUAAAUAAUACAUGUGAAGAAUUCUGUAUUUUCCCACAAGAUGGCACACUUUUCUCAUGAUAGCUGUGUGGUGCAGACUAACACUGGUAGCUAUGUACACACACAUAAGGACACUUUCUGUACAUUACAAAUGCUGUAACAUUCAUCUCCAGGGAUUUUGCAGCUGUGGUUAAUUGAACUGGCUUUAUAGUGCGGACCAGAAAUGCUGCUCAGUGCCAGUGCAUGAAAUAAACUAGGGAUCACAGAAAGGGAGACAUCACUCCCCGUUACUUGAAUACGGCGAAGAAAGAAAUAUACCAUGAAGACGAUGAGAUGGCGAGAAACACUGAC